rnacentral:rRNA from 1 species
AUUGAACGCUGGCGGUAUGCUUAACACAUGCAAGUCGAACGGUAACAGGCCUAGCUUGCUAGGUGCUGACGAGUGGCGGACGGGUGAGUAACGCGUAGGAAUCUGCCUUAUUGUGGGGGAUAACCUGGGGAAACUCAGGCUAAUACCGCAUGGGCCCUUAGGGGGAAAGGAUGGGACCGAAAGGCCAUUCGCGAUAAGAUGAGCCUGCGUUGGAUUAGCUAGUUGGUGGGGUAAAAGCCUACCAAGGCGAGGAUCCAUAGCUGGUCUGAGAGGACGAUCAGCCACACUGGGACUGAGACACGGCCCAGACUCCUACGGGAGGCAGCAGUGGGGAAUAUUGGACAAUGGGGGCAACCCUGAUCCAGCAAUACCGCGUGUGUGAAGAAGGCCUUAUGGUUGUAAAGCACUUUAAGCGAGGAGGAGGCUACUCUAGUUAAUACCUAGGGAUAGUGGACGUUACUCGCAGAAUAAGCACCGGCUAACUCUGUGCCAGCCGCCGCCGUAA